rnacentral:rRNA from 1 species
GUCUUUUUGAUUAUAAUUUAAAGUCUGACCUGCCCAAUGAGGAAUUGAAUGGCCGCGGUAAUUUGACCGUGCAAAGGUAGCAUAAUCAUUAGUUUUUUAAUUGAAAGCUGGAAUGAACGGUUGGACGAGAAAAUAACUGUCUCAAUUUAAUUGGAUAUAGAAUUUUAUCUAUAAGUAAAAAAGCUUAUAUGAUUUUAAAAGACGAGAAGACCCUAUAGAGUUUUAUAUUUUAUUAUAUCAGUUAGGUUUAGGAUGUUUAUAUUUUUGAUAUGGUAAAAUAUUUUGCUGGGGCAGCAGAAAAAUUAAGUAAACUUUUUUUAUUACUAUAACAUUGGUUUAUGGCUAAAUGAUCCAUUUUUUAUGAUUAUAAGAUUAAAUUACCUUAGGGAUAACAGCGUAAUUCUUUUUUAGAGUUCUUAUCGAAAAGAGAGUUUGCGACCUCGAUGUUGGAUUAAAAUUAACUUUUGGUGUAGGGGCUAAAAGGUUAGGUCUGUUCGACCUUUAAAAUUUUACA